rnacentral:rRNA from 1 species
UACGUAGGGGGCAAGCGUUGUCCGGAGUUACUGGGCGUAAAGCGCACGCAGGCGGUCUCUUAAGUUUGGAGUGACAGUUGGUGGCUUAACUGCCAAAGUGCUUCGAAAACUGAGAGACUUGAGGGCUUCAGAGGGACACGGAAUUCCGGGUGGAGUGGUGAAAUGCGUAGAGAUCCGGAGGAACACCAAAGGCGAAGGCAGUGUCCUGGGGAGUACCUGACGCUCAGGUGCGAAAGCCAGGGGAGGCGAACGGG